rnacentral:rRNA from 1 species
UUUUCCUACGGGAGGCAGCAGUGGGGAAUAUUGCACAAUGGGGGAAACCCUGAUGCAGCGACGCCGCGUGAGUGAAGAAGUAUUUCGGUAUGUAAAGCUCUAUCAGCAGGGAAGAAAAUGACGGUACCUGACUAAGAAGCCCCGGCUAACUACGUGCCAGCGGCCGCGGUAAUACGUAGGGGGCAAGCGUUAUCCGGAUUUACUGGGUGUAAAGGGAGCGUAGACGGCAGCGCAAGUCUGGAGUGAAAUGCCGGGGCCCAACCCCGGAACUGCUCUGGAAACUGUGAAGCUGGAGUGCAGGAGAG